rnacentral:snoRNA from 1 species
CCCCUCUCAGGGUUGCACCUGGAGAGUUUCCAGUACUCUACCAGUCUUGGCUAUGGGAAGGAGAGUCAAGCAGAGGCCUACCCAUUCCAUUCCUAGCUUGGGCAGUGGCUAGCGAGUGGAAGGCAAUCUAACUACAAGU